rfam:TPA: Bos taurus chromosome 5, whole genome shotgun sequence.
UCCCUGGUGGCUUAAUCAGUAAAGAAUCUGCCUGCAGUGCAGGAGACCCAGGUUCGAUCCCUGCGUUGGGAA